rnacentral:rRNA from 1 species
CGCGAACGCUGGCGGCAGGCUUAACACAUGCAAGUCGAGCGGGCACUUCGUGUCAGCGGCAGACGGGUGAGUAACACGUGGGAACGUACCCUUCGGUUCGGAAUAACGCUGGGAAACUAGCGCUAAUACCGGAUACGCCCUUUUGGGGAAAGUUUACUGCCGAAGGAUCGGCCCGCGUCUGAUUAGCUAGUUGGUGGGGUAAU